rnacentral:rRNA from 1 species
AUUGAGCGCUGGCGGCAGGCUUAACACAUGCAAGUCGAGCGGGCGAGGUUGCUUCGGUAACUGAGCUAGCGGCGGACGGGUGAGUAAUGCUUAGGAAUCUGCCUAUUAGUGGGGGACAACAUUCCGAAAGGAAUGCUAAUACCGCAUACGCCCUACGGGGGAAAGCAGGGGAUCUUCGGACCUUGCGCUAAUAGAUGAGCCUAAGUCAGAUUAGCUAGUUGGUGGGGUAAAGGCCUACCAAGGCGACGAUCUGUAGCGGGUCUGAGGGGAUGAUCCGCCACACUGGGACUGAGACACGGCCCAGACUCCUACGGGAGGCAGCAGUGGUGAAUAUUGGACAAUGGGGGGAACCCUGAUCCAGCCAUGCCGCGUGUGUGAAGAAGGCCUUUUGGUUGUAAAGCACUUUAAGUGGGGAGGAGGCUUACCUGGUUAAUACCUGGGCUAAGUGGACGUUACCCACAGAAUAAGCACCGGCUAACUCUGUGCCAGCAGCCGCCGUAA